GAUGAACGCUAGCUACAGGCUUAACACAUGCAAGUCGAGGGACCGGCGCGCGUGGGAGUAACACGUAUCCAACCUGCCCUGUACUCGGGAAUAGCCUUUCGCAAGAACUACUAACACCCGAUGUAAAGGAUGGGGAUGCGUUCCAUGAGGUUGUUGGUAAGGUAACGGCUCACCAAGCCUUCGAUGGAUAGGGGUUCUGAGAGGCAGGUCCCCCAGAAUGGAACUGAGACACGGUCCAAACGCCUACGGGAGGCAGGAGUGAGGAGUAUUGGUCAAUGAGCGUUAGCCUGAACCAGCCAAGUAGCGUAAAGGAUGAAAGCUUAUAGGUCGUAAACUUCUUGUAUAUAAGAAUAUGUAUUAGCAGAAUAAGCAUCGGCUAACUCCGUGCCAGCAGCCGCGGUAAUAC
rnacentral:rRNA from 1 species